rnacentral:lncRNA from 1 species
CGGCGAGCUUCAUUGAAGGGGGAGCGCGGCGGGCGGCGAGGCGCUGGGAGUCGUGGGGAAGCUGAGCUUCUUCUGCUGCAGUUCCUUCCUCCUUUUUCCUCCUGGCUGGCCCCUGCCAGUAGCCCAUCAGCCAAAGAUCUUCGUCCCUGCUAUGCACAAUGUCUGGUUCAGUGGAUGACAUGCCUUGCAUGAACUUUGAAGCCAACAUAUUUGCAAAGAGCCUGUGCCAGCACUGUUUCCGAGCCGCAGGGGCUCACCAGCAUGCUGUCCAGGAUCAUGCCACGGAGGUCACAGGGCGCGAUGCCUGCAGCGACGCAGCCCCAGGAGAGCCCUGGGACUCCCUGCACAUUUUAGCCCCGCAGUGCGAGGUAUACGUGUGCGUGGGCCCGGCGGAGGGCACAGAGUGCUCUCCUCCGAAGACCUGCUUUGCCGUGGACGUGGUGGCAUCCCGCGUCGCUCGCGCCUCCCCCAGUAACGGCCUUCUCCCCGUCCCAGAGCGCCGUCCUGCCAGCCAGAAGCCUGAGGAGAGCUGGCCAAAGCACCGAAAAACUGACCCUCCCUGGGCAUCCACCCUGCCGCGCGCCCCCGCUGUCUCCCCGCCGGCCCGCAGCGACCUGCUGGGUGGCGGCGGGCACCUCUCUG